AUUGAACGCUGGCGGCAGGCCUAACACAUGCAAGUCGAGCGGAGCUGCGGACGGGUGAGUGAUGCCUAGGAAUCUGCCUGGUAGUGGGGGAUAACGUACGGACACGGGCGCUAAUACCACAUCCUAUCCGCUGAGCCUUGGUGGGAUUUGCUAGUUGGUGGGGUAAAGGCCUACCACGGCGACGAUCCGUAACAGGUCUGAGAGGAUGAUCAGUCACACUGGAACGGAGACACGGUCCAGACUCCUACGGGAGGCAGCAGUGGGGAAUAUUGGACAAUGGGCGAAAGCCUGACCCAGCCAUGCCGCGUGUGUGAAGAAGGUCUUCGGAUUGUAAAGCACUUUAAGUUGGGAGGCGUUACCAACAGAAUAAGCACCGGCUAACUUCGUGCCAGCAGCCGCGGUAAUAC
rnacentral:rRNA from 1 species